rnacentral:rRNA from 1 species
UACAGAGGUCUCGAGCGUUGUUCGGAUUCAUUGGGCGUAAAGGGCGCGUGGGCGGCGGGGCAAGUCGGGUGUGAAAUCUCAGAGCUCAACUCUGAAACUGCACUCGAUACUGCUUUGCUUGAGGACUGGAGAGGAGAUUGGAAUUCACGGUGUAGCAGUGAAAUGCGUAGAUAUCGUGAGGAAGACCAGUGGCGAAGGCGGAUCUCUGGACAGUUCCUGACGCUGAGGCGCGAAAGCGUGGGGAGCGAUCCGG